rnacentral:lncRNA from 1 species
AGGCAAGACACAACGACGAUGAACGACAACAUCACCACCAUGAUGCGAUUCUGGAACAUUAGGUAAGACCGACAAUCACAUCCAGCUUGGGGGAGUUCCUCCCCGUUUUAUCAAGUAAGUUUUUAUUUGCUCUUCUUAUUUAUUCUUUUCUGUUUUAGUGUUUUAUUUAUUUCAUAUAAAAAAUCAAUAAAUAUUUUCUUGCUUUAAUUUACUGCAUUCUAUAAACAUGAAAACAAAAUAAAAAGAGUGUGUAGAUAAGUGUGCUUUAUUUAUCUGCUAAGUGUUAAUCUCUAGGAAAAUAAAAAGACUAAAAGAUGCAUGAUGGAAAUGAUGAACAGUUGCUCUGUUUGCUUUCAUAUUAGAGUUCUCCCAAGAAUUGCUAAAAUUUGAAAUAGUAUCUAUAGGAGUAUGAGCCUAAAACUAAAGUCUAGGUAAGAGAAAGGCAUGAUAUAAAGAUUGAGCUACUGUUUAUCUUGUUCUUACAACACUAAGUUCUGGAGAUUUAUUUUGAAAACUUGAAAAUCACAUGAUGAGUUCCUAGCAUGACAAAAUUCCAAACACAUCCAUACUUGCUAUAACAACUUUUGCUACUUAUAUUCACAAUCAGUUUGAUCGAGCUGUGUAGACCCUUAGGAGCUUUUUCAUGUGGUUAAAUUAAGAUAUUCACUUGCACACAUCUACUACACCAUCCACCACCAUUCAUUAAAAUUCCUAAAAAUAUUAUCACUCACUGUCCCAAGUGAGUGAGACGAGAGGUAAAAAUGGACAAGUGUCUAGUAGAAUUAGAGGUACAAAGAUGCCCACUUGAGCGGAAAAAAAUGGACAAGUGUCCGACAGUAGAAUUAGGGGUAUUUAUUACCCACCUGAAAAAAAAAAGAAGAGAAGAAAAGGAAAAAAGAUAGCCCAUGCUCUCCCAAAGCAAAGAUCAAAGAGGAGGAGAGAUAGCAAUAUGAGGAGCAAUGAGAAGUAAGUUUUAUGAUUACUUAUAUUUUCACCAUUACUAUCAUUUACUCCACCACACAUGCAUAUAUUGAUUUAAUUACAUGUUGAGUUCCUUCGGAUCCAUGGCUCGAUUAGACAACAUAUGUAUGAGCUGUUUUUCACACCUAUGAGCUUCGCAUAAACAUUCCCUUAGUUAUAGGUAAGUGAUAUUUUUGGUGAGGAUCCACAAAUACCAUAUAUAGAGAGACUUGAGAGAAUCAUAGCUGGGAACUCUGAGCUUUAUUUUUAAAAACUUAUGCAAAACUUCAAAACAAAGGUGAAGUAUAGAC